UCAGGGGCAUUACUUAAACAAGUAACAAUUUUUAUGACGUAUUCGCGUUAUUUUUGUCAAAUCUGUAUUUUACUAAAAGAUCAAGCUCUUUCUUAUUCCCAUUCGAAUUUACCGCGGUUUUUUUACCAGUUCCUAGUCUCGCGUGAUUCAUUCGUCAUUUCCCGCGUUUUUAAGAUCACUAGGAUUCAUCAAGACAAAAGCAAAUCGAAAAAAUACAAAUUUGAAGACCAACUUAGAAUGCAAUUUAUGUGAAAGAAAUGGAGGAUAAAGACCACAUGACAAUGAUGACAAAGAAGAUGAAGAGCAGCAUCCUUUAAAUGAAUCAGGACCACAUGACAAUGAUGACAAAGAAGAUGAAGAGCAGCAUCCUUUAAAUGAAUCAGGACCACAUGACAAUGAUGACAAAGAAGAUGAAGAGCAGCAUCCUUUAAAUGAAUCAGGACCACAUGACACUGAUGACAAAGAAGAUGAAGAGCAGCAUCCUUUAAAUGAAUCGGGACCAGAAUGUCAAAAGAAACUAUUUGAAGAUGAGGACAUGGUUAUAGAUGAUAGUUUUCAUGGCAGUUAUGGUUAUAAUAGUGAAGAUGAGAUGAGUCCACUUUACCCUCUGGAUAGUUCCUUGUUGAGUGAAUCAUCGUUUCUAACAGCUUUGGCCUCUGAGUUGAUGGAGGUCCCAGACAAGGUAGUUGGUUUUUCUGCUCAUGUUUUUUUGCUAUAGAUGGUAGAUUUAACAUGUGCAUGGUAUAUUUUUCAGAAAUAACAACAGCAAAUUUGUUUUUCCUUUUUUUCUAAUUCCUUUUCUUAUAAAUGCAUGCAAUGCAUGAAGAUAAUCAAACACCAUAGUUUCCCUACCUCACCGAGGUUGACAGCAGGUCUAGUAACCGAUAGCUAAGCAUGGUUUAAUCUUAAUUUAAACACCACUAGAAAAUCAUAAAAAGGCACACCUCAUCAGAAUGUGGAGAUUUGCCUGCUUCAUAUUUACAGUUUAUUGUAUUGUUGUUUCACUUGAAUUACUAAAACCUGUACAUUACUGUCAAAUCUUUAAGUGAAAAGCGAGCAAGUGCGGGAAGGUCUUCAUCAAUGGACUAAAAUUCUUAAUGUGUCAGUUUUAAGAUGAGUAUUGAAUGAAUUCGAAGGAGUUGACCAAACAUGAUUUUACCACUACCAAUGUUUUAAAUAGACAAUUUUUAUAGGAACUGAUUCUUUCAUGAAGUACUCACGACUCCUUUUGUCGAGAUGAGUGAAAUAUAGGCAUUAGAUGGCAUUAAAUGAAUAGCUAUUAAAAAAUUAUUUAACAAUUACCAUAAUUAGGUAAACAUGUGCAUAAAUAACAAUACCAUGGAAUUCCUAUCAAAUUAAUCAAAAAUUCUUGAGUCUGAUUAAUGAUUGAAAAAUCAUUACUAUCAAGUGAAACAUGAACAGGAUGACCAAUAUUUACCAAUUACUGAAAAUUUAUUAGUUGAAGACGUUUAUCAUGUUUAGGAAAAAGACUUCUAAUUAAUUAUAGAAAUGAGUUCAUUGUU